GCUGCAGCAGCCCAGGGAGACGGCGUUCUGAAGCUGUGCCUUGGAGUGGCUCUUCUUACACCUUUCCGCCUCAUCCCCACCUAAUUCGGGCAGAGUAGAAAAUUUUCCAAAUUAAGGGGAGAAAAGGGGGAGGGGCAUUAUCGAGAGAAAGCAAGAGGAGCGGCCGCAAGUGAGAAUAUCCUGCCUGAUGCCAGGGAAUUGACUGACGUGUCUGUGGGGUUACGGACGAAAACUGAAUAGGCAGCCAAGUUGGCCGAGGAGGGGCUGGGAGGCUUCCGGGUGCCGGGAAGGUGGACCCGGUCUCCAUUUCCACCGGUACGAAGGCUUGGAGGCGCCUCUAUGGUGAGGGCUUUUGAACCGCCAUCCACUCCUGAUCCCUUGGAAAGGAGCCUUCAGAGCUGAGGAGGGAGAAGUCCAGGAAAAGCCCCUGGACUUGUGUGCGUCGCAUCCUUGGCUUGGGAUUUUAAGGACACGAAGGAGAAUUAACAGCGCCUCAAGGAAAUCCACUGGAGAUGGUUUCAAGAUAUAGCAUCCUUAUAUGUGAGGUAUCCCAAAUGAAGUUGGAGCAUCCAUGUUGAAAUCGCUUCAUGUUGUGGAAUUGAUGAGUGCCAUCAGAAAGCUGUAUCAUGAGCUGCCUGCACUUCUAAAGUGUCCAGUGGAUUUUUAAUCACAUGAGCCUGGAAAUAGGGUUAUGAGAAGAAGCUCAGAGCAGAGCACCGAAAGUGGCCACUACCAGCAUGAAGAGCCCAACAAUUCAAGCUGGUGAAGUGAGAAAAACAGAAUGCAGCUUUCAAGGUUUGUUUCAAGCAGUUGGCUUG